CUCAUUGGAUAGUUUUCUGCCACUCAGAUCUGCUUCAACCCCUCCUGAGGUUGACCCUGACCCUGUGCCCUGUGUAGAAAGCCCUAAGAAGAGCAAUGAUGUGGCUGCUGAGCAUUUUCUUCCUGGCAACUCUUUUUUCUUGUGGCUCUGCACAAGGCUUGCAGCAAACCCCUAUAUCCGUCACCAAGCCAGAAGGUGAAAACGUGGAAAUCAACUGCCAUGUCUCCAGUCCUGAUUUUAUCAACUCUUUUAUUCACUGGUACCAAAAGAAGGGCAAUGCACCUCCCAAACGUGUUGCCUAUAUAUCCUCCACGUUUUUCCUUGAAAACAUGUCUGAUGAGGGGAAGUUUAGUGUUGCCAAGGAUCCCAGCAAGUCUGUCUGCAUCCUGACAGUGAGCAAAGUAACGCCACAAGACUCUGCCACCUACUACUGUGCCAUUUGGGAUGCACAGCAGUAG